rnacentral:tRNA from 1 species
UUCAAGAAAUAGUUUAAUAAAAUAUUAAUUUUGGAGAUUAAAGAUAAGAAAAUUUCUUUUUCU